rnacentral:rRNA from 1 species
GCAAGUCGAGCGGUAACAGGAAUUAGCUUGCUAAUUUGCUGACGAGCGGCGGACGGGUGAGUAAUGCCUAGAUAUCUGCCUAGUCGUGGGGGAUAACAGUUGGAAACGACUGCUAAUACCGCAUACGCCCUACGGGGGAAAGGAGGGGACCUUCGGGCCUUUCGCGAUUAGAUGAGUCUAGGUGGGAUUAGCUAGUAGGUGAGGUAAUGGCUCACCUAGGCGACGAUCCCUAGCUGGUCUGAGAGGAUGAUC